UACGGGGGGAGCAAGCGUUGUUCGGAUUUACUGGGCGUAAAGGGCGCGUAGGCGGCCUGUGCAAGUCAGUUGUGAAAUCUCCGGGCUUAACUCGGAACGGUCAGCUGAUACUGCUCGGCUAGAGUGCGGAAGGGGCAACUGGAAUUCUUGGUGUAGCGGUGAAAUGCGUAGAUAUCGGGAGGAACACCUGUGGCGAAAGCGGCGCACUGGACCACAACUGACGCUGAGGCGCGAAAGCUAGGGGAGCAAACAGG
rnacentral:rRNA from 1 species